rnacentral:rRNA from 1 species
AACGUAGGUGGCGAGCGUUAUCCGGAUUUACUGGGCGUAAAGGGUGUGUAGGCGGGGUGCCAAGUGGUGUAUGAAAUAGCCCGGCUUAACCGGGCAAGGUUAUGCCAGACUGGCACCCUGGAGUGCGAGAGAGGGGCGUGGAAUUCCGGGUGUAGUGGUGAAAUGCGUAGAUAUGCGGAGGAACACCGAUGGCGAAGGCAAUCCACUGGGCCUGCACUGACGCUCAUGCACGAAAGCGUGGGGAGCAAACAGG